UACAAGCUACGAUGUACGUAUUCAAUUAAGUUUUAACCUCUAACAGAUGAAUAGGGAGUUUUACAUCGGAACUAAAAUGUCGAGCCGUCGUAGAGUAACGGAAGGCAGGAGGGUUUCUGCAAACACCCACUUGGAGAAGUGGUGGUUUAAAACUUUUUAUUAUAUAAUACGGCAAUUGUGGCCUGUAA
rnacentral:other from 1 species